AACUGGUAGUUUAUUCGGACAUCUAUCGACGGCAUAUGGUAGCUAGCUAGUAGUGACGAAUAGAUGGAGAGGUAGCUCGACAAAUGUCUUGUACACUUAUGGCCUGAAGAAAGCUGGGUGAGGGCGGCCGGCUCCUUGGAAGGAGGUGUUCUUGAGGUGCUCGGGCGCUUCCUCGUACGAAUGCCGCCUCGCCAGAGAGAGGAUCUUCUUGUCGGCAGCGAUGAAGUAGGCCAUGCCAGCAACUGCAGGAUGAUCAAGACAUGUAUCGUCAGCACUAGGUUACAGAACACGUUUUCAGAGGUCAGCGAGGCCGAUGAUCUUUCAAAGUGACAGAGGAGGUGAUAGAGAUCGAUCAGCUUGUAAGAGAUGCAGUAGUGCGUCGUACCUGUGGAGAUGAUGAGUGCCUGGCCCGUGGGGUUGAUGUUGGCCUUCGCCCAUGGCAGCAUCCGCACGCUCGCCAGCUGAACAGCAGCAGCAGAACGAUGAGUGUGAUGCUUCCUAUCCAUCUUAUAAGGAAAACAUUGGUAUGAUGAUGGUGCUCGUGUGGAAAUAGACUCACGGUUGGAAUUGCAGAGACGAUGGUUGCCACAGCUGCUGCCUUAGUUCCUGCAAGGGUUGCCUCUGCAGGCAUGGAAGCAUCAUCAGUCAGUGUACAUGCCUUCAAGACAGACUUGUUUAGCAGUAGCGCGCGCGCACGCACACACACCUAAUUGUAUGUGUUUGCAGCACUUGCACAGCGUACACGUAUCGCAUACCUCGCGAGCAGCGCUUGGCCAUGGCAAGCUUCUGGUCCAGGGAGGCACGGCUCACAGUCGACAUCUUGCUUUGAUCUUGCUCGAUCUUGUGCUUGCAAACUAAUCUGAGAGAAUAACUCUGAAAGAUAGUCUGCUUAAAGCGCUAGGAAAUGAAGCAGAUCGAUCGCCUGGUAGUGAGUAGUGACUAGUAAGUGGCAGUGGGAAAGAUGGGAUGCAAGAAGAGGCAGGGGGGGAGGCCAUGGAUUUAUAGGCAGCGCCGGAUGUUGAGGACCCAGAAGAUCGGCGGACGGCCGGCGAGAAGCGGCGGGCGCAGCGGACGUGGUUUUGGACGGCGAGAACCUUUGGCUUGAGCCUUGAGGACACACAUCGCCGUCGGUUCCUACCCACUAUAGCUUGCAGACAGGCGGUGCAUGGCAGCAUGUGGGUGGUACGAUUACUUGUCAAGCAACCGGCCUUUUGGGAGUUGGAUCCUCAAGAAAAUUAGAUUAAUAUAAUGGCUUUUAAUAAGCCUAAACCGUGUGUCCAGCAGGUCGGUUUAGAUCAGAAACCCAUGGUCCAUUGGUGUUAUGUGGGCUCUAGCUAGGUUCGGCAUGCAUCUAUGUGCUACUCUACUCAACAAGGGUCAAAAAAGAUUACCAACUAUGGUUACUUUGACACACUAACUGGAGCCACGACGUACUGUCAACAGGCAGCAGGGUCAAGCCUUUGACGCCGCUGCAUGUGCAGACCAAAAGCUCAAGUCACUGGUCUCAAGUUAAACAUGUGGCAAGUGCCUGUAGUUUCAAGGUUUAACAGUGAUGUAACUAUGCUGUGAAACCGUAAAUUGUACUUACUCCAUGAAACAGAAAGAAGUAACAAGCAAGUAGAAGCACCAAAAGUGCUUUUCUGAAGAUGGCGGUGUGGUGUGGCCGUGUGGGCGUGCCCUCGGUUUUUUGGCCCCGGAAUCUGCAGGUCAGGGACUCAGGGUGGCGCUCCCAGUUUUCAGCGAGAGGCAUCAGCAACAGAAACGGCAGACGCGGUAUGGCGUUUCCGUCCGUGGGCUGCAGGCGUGCGCCCCACAAAAAAAGUUGUACGAAUAGAUUAUCUCUGCUGCGGUUUUCAGGGUUUUCAGAUCUGGUCUUCCUACGGAGUAUACUAGUACCAGGAGUGUGGGCUUUAUCCACUGUUUCUCAAAUAAUUUCCAUAAGUAAAAAACCUGAAAAUAAAUUUGUGUUUUUGUUACGUCCGGAAUCAUCAUCAGUGUUUAACAUUUUUAAUUGUCCCUGCAUAAUAAGGUACAUGAGCCUUUUUAUGGUUCAUCAAAACAUUAUAACUUGAAUCUCGAUACCUAAGAGGUAUUAAAAAAUGUUACCUCCGUUAUCAAAAUCUGACCUUCCAUGUUUUAAUUAACCGAUAGUAUCUCUUAUUCAAAAGGCUCGUACUCCCUCCGUUCAUGUUGUAAACAAGGCGCAUACGACAUAUCAAGAUUCAAAGUUUACAAUCUUUAACCAAUAGUUUAGCCAAUAAUUUUUUACUUUUAUAAUAUAACUUUAACAUGGUUGGAUUUGUAAUUAAAUGCACUCUCUAAUGAUUAUAAAUUUAUAACCACAAACAAUAUAAGAUAAGAUAAAUGAAUGGUCAAAUUUUAAUUAGGAGAUCAUGUUGUGUCGUACCACGCCUUAUAAAUAGGAUCAGAGGGAGUAAGUCAUAAGGUGCAUAUACAACUCUCCAUUAUUGCACUGCUUAUCUUCAAACCAGUUGAGAAAAUGUUUUUCUAUUUUUUGAAAAUAUUUUGCCAAAAAAAUGACUUCAUUAUCUUGGCCAUUUGUUGAUUCCCCCCCUCUUGUGAGCAUCACAUCACUACAACAUAAAUCUCAAGUGACUACAACAUAAAUCUCAAGUAGAGACACUUUUGUAUAUACAUUUUACAAUUUGCCCUAAUGAAUAUAUCUUAACAUAUUAUAGAGACAUUUUUUAUGGCACUUUAGAAAGUGUCAUAUGUAUUGAGACACUACUUGAGGUUUUUUCAACUAUAGAAAUAUUUUCUUAAGUCAUUUUUGUAAAAUGCUAAUAUAGAAUAUUAAGGACAUAUUUGAAACACUUAAAAAUUAACCUUACCCCUAAAGAUAUAGUUUGAGACAUUCAUUUUAAUAUCUUGAGAUACUAUUUAGACUAUUGAAGCAUACACAUAAGAAUUAUAGUAAGUAAAUAUGCAACAAUUGGCAUGAGGUUGAGUUGCCUAGUAGGUGGAGCAUUAAGCAAUGUAGCAUGAGGUCUUGAGUUCAAAAACCCAUCACUCCAAAAACUACCAAAUUUUUGGUCUUGAGUUCAAAUACCCAUCACUCCAAAAACUAUCAAAUUUUUGCAAUAUAUUUCUAGUCACGUAGAAUAUAGAGACAUAAUAUUGUGCCAUUACAAGUUGUCUUAAUAUAUAUAUAGGGACACUUAUAAAAAUGUCUCUUUAUUCAAAGUGACACUAUUUGUAGUGGCACCUCUAUGACAUAAUGGAAAAUAACUGUGUAGGGACAGUAUAAAAUGUCUCUACAAGACUAAAAUAGUGUCUCUACGUAUGAUUCUGUUUUGUAGUGCGUGAGCGUAGUAGGAAGAGGGGGAGAAGGGAAGGUUACGUAUAGGCGUGAGCGUGAGAGGGUAGAAGGGAAAUGUAUAUAUAUAGGCGUGGUAACCAUAUACUGUCGAAAGCCUAGCUAGGGCAUGGAAUAGAAUUUCCUUUUUUCCCUUCACUGAGAGUUGAUCCGAGUUUGAUUAAUAACGUGAACAUGUUUAAAAUGGUGCUACUCACAAAUUUCAGAGAAUACUUGAGAACAUGUGGUAACCGUAUACUGUCGAGUUGAAGCAUAAGUACUACUGUACUAGCCAUCGGUGGCUGAUCAUAUUGAAACUUGAGAAUACUUGGUAGCGUUUGAGAGAAGAACCGGAAUUUCAGAGCUGAUCAGUAACAUCAAGUUGCAUUCCUUUUGAACUGGAUCACCAGUAGUACAAAUAAACUAAUUACAGUGACCGAUUGAAGCACUUCGCCAUUACAUCGAUGAUUAGUAAGCUAAUGGUAAUAUUUUAUUCGGGCAUCGACGGCAUGAAGUGCUAGCAAUUUCCGAAGAUGUUUCAUGGCCUGAAGAAAGCCGGGUGUGGGCGGCCGGCGCCCUGGUAGGAGGUGUUCUUGAGGUGGUCGGGGGCUUCCUCGAAUGAGUGCCUUCUCGCCAGCGACAGAAUCUUCUUGUCGGCGGCGAUGAAGUAGGCCAUCCCAGCAACUGCAAGCAGCCAUCACCAACAAAACAAAUCAGUCAGAUUAUGCACACUCUGUUGGUCGAGCUGCGGCUCAUGCCAAGCGGUGAGCAAGAAAGAUGUUUGAGCGCACACCUGUGGAGAUGAUGAGUGCCUGGCCGGUGGGGUUGAUGUUGGCCUUCGCCCAUGGCAGCAUCCUCACGCUCGCCAGCUGACAACAGCAGCAAAACGAUGAGUGUGAUGCUACUACAGACCUAGGAUUGCAUCUGAUGAGGAAAAAAACACUGAUGGUAUGGAAAUAAACUCACGGUUGGAAUCGCAGAGGCUAUGGUCGCCACAGCUGCCGCCUUGGUUCCUGCAAGGGUUGCCUCUGCAGACAUGGAAUAAUCGUCAGUCAGUGUACGUAGCUUCGAGACAGGCUUUGUUCAGCACAAAAGAAAAAACCCUGAGAGAUUCAACUACUGCUAGCUGUUCGUGUUUGCACUUGCAGAUCGUGUAUGUAUUGUGUACCUCGCGAGCAGCGCUUGGCCAUGGCAAGCUUCUGGUCCAGGGAGGCACGGCUAACAGUCGACAUCUUCGAAUUCGAUCUUGUAGCAGCGAAGAAUAUAAUGGAACUGAAAGGAGCGAUAUUCUUGUAGUGUUGGUAGCUGAUGGGUGGGACUGAAAGGAGUGGAGGGUGAUGGAUGGAUUGCAAAGACGCAGGGAAGGCCGGGAUUUUAUAGGCAGCGUCAGGGGCGCCAAACGAUCGGCGGAAGGGGAGAAGCGGCGGGCGGGCGCAGGACGUGGUUUUGGGCCGGCGCAUCGGAAACCAUGUUAGUCAGUGUGGCCGGCGCAGCUCGAUGGUUUCGGCUUCCGGGUAGGUGCAGUUCACCUCCUCGUUCCAUCGAUGUGGCUACUGGUAUGGUUUAUCCUAAGCAACCUAGCAUUAUUGCUGUUCCUCAUCCACUCGCAGCUUUGCGGAAAGGGACAGACGGUGGAUGUCAGCAUGUGCAGGGGGCACGCACUUCACUUCACUGCUAGUAGCUCUUGUCGAGUCACCGGCCUUGGACUUGGAUGUUCGAUCAUGAUCACGAGGCUUGGUUAGUGCCCUUAACUAAGCCUUUGGCCUUGCUGCUUGUCUCAAGCCAUUGGUCAAGUCAAAACAUUUCACCAAAAAGGCUGCCUGUAACUUUUUUACAGGGCUGUAAACCUUGCUACUAUGGAGCUGUAUAUUGUACACGUGCAGGGCAUGGAUGGAAAGGUCCUUUUCUGACGUAGUAGGAGUACACCUGUGAGCUGGCCCACACGGCAGCCACCAAGACCCAGGGUCUCGCGGAAUUAUUGGUGGCGCUCCCAGUUUUCGGCUGCGCAGAGGCAGAAACCGCGGACGUCGCACGCAGCGUCUCCUCUCGCUCCGUGGGCUGCACAUCUGCAGCACCGUCACCCUGCUGUGAUUUCACUUUUCAGAUCUUUUGUCUUUCUACGUCAGUACGCAGCAGCAGCAGCAGCAGCAAGCAGUACGUAGUAUAGCCUUAUCCACUGUUUAGGUUGCGCUCAAAACAAUAAUUUUAGACAAAGCUGUACAAAAACUAUCAACUGUGUUAAAUACUUUUAAUUAACCUAAGUUAAUUACCGCAGCUGCGUCGAUAUUAUGAUGGACAUACCUUUUUCAUUAUCACAAACUGUACGGCAAAGCAAAUUUGAAAAGAUUUUCUCAUUCUAGAUUGUUCUAUAUCUUGUCAGGACAACCAAGAUGCAAGAUGUUUUCGGACAAGUUAGUGGACUCUAAUAUAUUUUGAUUAUGCUCCCGAUUGCAUCAUGUGUUUAUUUUUCCUUUUUUUAGAAAACUUUUUGAGAAAAUUUAGAAGCAAUUUUUUUUAAAUAUUUUCUUAUUUUUGUAAGUAUUGUAAAAAAAUUCUAAUGGGGCUAGAAUAUUUUUCUCGUUAAGUUGAAAUACUUUAUUGUGAAAUCGAAAUAUUUUUUAGCUGUAACAGUUUUCUCGUGAAGUUAAAAUAAAAUUUUCUGAACCUAUAAUAGAUCAAUAGUUGGUGGGCCUCUUCCCAUGUGAUGUCAAAUAUGAUACAUAUUGUUCGAGACCGUGAAAACAUGUACUCCCUCGUACUUAAAUUACUAUUCGUUUUGACUUCUCUAGAUACACAUUUUAACAUGCAUCGAGAUAUAUACUUAUAUCUAGAUACAUAGUAAAAGUGAUGUAUUUAGAAAAGUCAAAACGAAUAAUAAUUUGGGUCCGAGGGAGUACAAUAUGGUCAAGCUAAAUAUGGUGCUACUUGAAACAGGGUUGAUAUGAUGGUCAAGUCAUCCUAAUAAGCUGGCUCUUUUUUCUUACAAGAAAAAAAGAACAAUUUUUUGGGUGUCUGUUGAAGUUGAAAUCUGAUAGCGUAUUACAGUAUUUCUGCAUAGGCUACACUUAUACGCAUCGCCUCCCGAUGAGGUUGCAAUGCCCUAUGGCUACUUUUCAGGGAGAAGUAGAGAAAGAGAACCAAUCUGGCAUGCAAGUGGCCACAGGGGUCGCCCCAUACGAGUGUGACAGCAGUGUAGCAGCUUCAGUUUUAGCUCCCAAGUCCCUGCACUCAAAUAUUAAGCCCUCUGAGCCGGUUCUCAGAUCUUAAUAACCAUAUACUACCUCCGUCCUUAAAUAUAUGACGUUUAUGACGUUUAGUUAGUUCGUAUGACGUUUAGAAUAAGCAAAUUGGUUCAUUUUUGAACUACUAACUUGUCCUAAACGUCAUAUAUUUAAGAACGGAGGGAGUAUUUGUGAAGAAUGAUACGAUGAUGUUUGCUGCUUAAUUAGCCAAGCUGUUAUACAGAUACACGAAGUACAGGGCGGAGAAAAGCUAAUACAAGCUAGUUACAAUGGCUCAAGCACUGUUUCAAAUUUGCAAUUUCCCUCUGAGGCUGUGAGCACAUCGGUUGCUUUUGGAGUUAUUGACUGCCGGUAGUACUUAUUCAUCAACUCCAUAGUAGUAACUAUUGAUCAAGAUGCAGCUCGAUCAUGGCCUGAAGAAAGCCGGGUGCGGCCUGCCGGUGCCCUGGUAGGAGGUGUUCUUGAGGUGCUCGGGGGCUUCCUCGAACGAGUGCCUCCUCGCCAGCGACAGAAUCUUCUUGUCAGCAGCGAUGAAAU
rnacentral:lncRNA from 1 species